rnacentral:lncRNA from 1 species
UGCCAACCAAUUUAACUUAAGAUAGGAGAAUCACACUAUUCGCACUUUUACUCAAUUAGGUGUUAUUCUCACUUUCAUAAUAAUAUUAGCUCAUGCUUUUACACACUGGAUAUGAUUUAUUCAAUAACAUUUUAGUCAAUAAUGUCUUCACCCAUAAAAACUGACACAAUGUGAAAACUUCUAUUUAUUACAAUCCCUGAAACCUGAAGUCACCGUACAAGAAUAACUAAGUCUAAAAGAAAUAAGAAUAUCCAACAUAAUAAAAGAGGAAAGUAUCUUAAUCCGAAUCAAAGGACAUGACAUCAUAAAAGAUUUGAAGGCUGCCCGAACAUGGCAUCCACCCUUUAAUCAAGUUUGGACGCGAGGUCGUAUGUCAAGCGCUGAAAGAUGUGUUGUCCUCAAAUAAAAAAAAGAAAAGUACAAAUAGCAUCAAUACAUCAACAAGAGCUGAUAAGCAUGAUAUGUCGACUAACUUAACGACAUACAAGCAAGCAAGUCAAACAAGUAUAAAAGUGAUCGUAAAAUGAUUCGUAAUCAAUGAUAUCAAUCAAAUAACACAUCAAAAUUCAUCAUGUAAUUACACUCACAAGAUUACUUUACAAGCUUUCAUACUUAAUCA